rnacentral:rRNA from 1 species
GAAGAACGCUGGCGGCGUGCCUAAUACAUGCAAGUCGAACGAACAGAUGAGGAGCUUGCUCCUCUGACGUUAGCGGCGGACGGGUGAGUAACACGUGGAUAACCUACCUAUAAGACUGGGAUAACUUCGGGAAACCGGAGCUAAUACCGGAUAAUAUAUUGAACCGCAUGGUUCAAUAGUGAAAGACGGUUUUGCUGUCACUUAUAGAUGGAUCCGCGCCGCAUUAGCUAGUUGGUAAGGUAACGGCUUACCAAGGCAACGAUGCGUAGCCGACCUGAGAGGGUGAUCGGCCACACUGGAACUGAGACACGGUCCAGACUCCUACAGGAGGCAGCAGUAGGGAAUCUUCCGCAAUGGGCGAAAGCCUGACGGAGCAACGCCGCGUGAGUGAUGAAGGUCUUCGGAUCGUAAAACUCUGUUAUUGGGGAAGAACAAAUGUGUAAGUAACUAUGCACGUCUUGACGGUACCUAAUCAGAAAGCCACGGCUAACUACGUG